UACGGAAGGCAGCAGUGGGGAAUCUUAGACAAUGGGGGCAACCCUGAUCUAGCCAUGCCGCGUGAGUGAUGAAGGCCUUAGGGUUGUAAAGCUCUUUCAGCUGGGAAGAUAAUGACGGUACCAGCAGAAGAAGCCCCGGCUAACUCCGUGCCAGCAGCCGCGGUAAUACGGAGGGGGCUAGCGUUGUUCGGAAUUACUGGGCGUAAAGCGCACGUAGGCGGACUGGAAAGUCAGAGGUGAAAUCCCAGGGCUCAACCUUGGAACUGCCUUUUGAAACUAUCAGUCUGGAGUUCGAGAGAGGUGAGUGGAAUUCCGAGUGUAGAGGUGAAAUUCGUAGAUAUUCGGAGGAACACCAGUGGCGAAGGCGGCUCACUGGCUCGAUACUGACGCUGAGGUGCGAAAGCGUGGGGAGCAAACAGGGAUUAGAUACCCGU
rnacentral:rRNA from 1 species